UGUAAUUAGCUGACUUGCUUC
rnacentral:siRNA from 1 species